rnacentral:rRNA from 1 species
UUUUGGAUGGACCCGCGGCGUAUUAGCUAGUUGGUGAGGUAAAGGCUCACCAAGGCAGUGAUACGUAGCCGACCUGAGAGGGUGAUCGGCCACAUUGGGACUGAGACACGGCCCAAACUCCUACGGGAGGCAGCAGUAGGGAAUCUUCCACAAUGGACGAAAGUCUGAUGGAGCAACGCCGCGUGAGUGAAGAAGGUUUUCGGAUCGUAAAACUCUGUUGUUGGAGAAGAACACGUUUGAGAGUAACUGUCAGAC